rnacentral:misc_RNA from 1 species
AAAGUCGUAACAAGGUUUCCGUAGGUGAACCUGCGGAAGGAUCAUUAAUGAUUUUUUUAAGCAAACCAAGCGAAAGUGAGGUUUUGCGAAUAUAUUUAAAACCCCCCACUCUUUAAAAAAAAUUUUCAUUCAUUCAUAAUAUGAAUAAAAAGAUCACUUUCAACAACGGAUCUCUUGGUUCUC